AGAGUUUGAUUAUGGCUCAGAUUGAACGCUGGCGGCAUGCCUUACACAUGCAAGUCGAACGGUAACGCGGGGCAACCUGGCGACGAGUGGCGAACGGGUGAGUAAUGCAUCGGAACGUGCCCAGUAGUGGGGGAUAGCCCGGCGAAAGCCGGAUUAAUACCGCAUACGACCUACGGGUGAAAGCGGGGGACUCGCAAGAGCCUCGCGCUAUUGGAGCGGCCGAUGUCAGAUUAGCUAGUUGGUGGGGUAAAUGCCUACCAAGGCGACGAUCUGUAGCUGGUCUGAGAGGACGACCAGCCACACUGGGACUGAGACACGGCCCAGACUCCUACGGGAGGCAGCAGUGGGGAAUUUUGGACAAUGGGCGCAAGCCUGAUCCAGCCAUGCCGCGUGCGGGAAGAAGGCCUUCGGGUUGUAUACCGCUUUUGUCAGGGAAGAAACGCUCUGGGUUAAUACCUCGGGGUAAUGACGGUACCUGAAGAAUAAGCACCGGCUAACUACGUGCCAGCAGCCGCGGUAAUACGUAGGGUGCAAGCGUUAAUCGGAAUUACUGGGCGUAAAGCGUGCGCAGGCGGUUAUGCAAGACAGAUGUGAAAUCCCCGGGCUCAACCUGGGAACUGCAUUUGUGACUGUAUAGCUAGAGUACGGUAGAGGGGGAUGGAAUUCCGCGUGUAGCAGUGAAAUGCGUAGAUAUGCGGAGGAACACCGAUGGCGAAGGCAAUCCCCUGGACCUGUACUGACGCUCAUGCACGAAAGCGUNNNGAGCAAACAGGAUUAGAUACCCUGGUAGUCCACGCCNU
rnacentral:rRNA from 1 species